AAGCAUUGAAGAUGUGAGAGAACGUGACAUUAUCAGCAGCAACCUGUAUGAUAUGCGCCUCAGCUCCAUCAGGAGGAAGAGCACCGAGUCAGGGAACGAAAACACCUACGAGACUAAUCUGGACGCCUUCAGGAGCAAAGAUGCACCAAACGCCUUCAACAACCUGGCAGCCGACAUCAAUGGCAAGACAACCUCCAUGUGACUGCCCUGCAGAGAGUCUAUUGGCUGUCUCAACAUGGAGUCUGGAGAG